CAACGAGUUGUCAGGUGGUUUUCAUCGACAGGGUUGCCCCGCCAUUCAGAGACGGGACUGGAAGCUUUUGUUUUUGUCCCGGGGUCAGGAUGCCUCAUGAGGCAUUCAGGAAGAGGUCGGGAGCCCUGCAACUUUUUGCGUGUUUCCUCUGCAACGUGGGAUUCAUACAUGUUCCUCGUCAGAGAGAGAGAGGUCAAAGGUCAGCCUGCAUGAAGUUGUCAAACUGCAUAGAGAAGUGAAUAAAUCGCUGGGACCCAUCUUCUCUUUUUGCGCCACAAAGGACAGUGAAUGUAACUGUUCUGACAAGGGCAGAGGAGGCAGAAGAGGGACCAUGAAGUCUGAAGAGGGGAAGUGUGUGGGAGAGAAAGAACCAAAGGCAGACUGCAUACAAUUGUGUUUGUGUAUCCUGGGUUUUAACAGGGUGUCAUUUUUUUGAAAUGAUCACUAUGUAGAUUGGGUUGUCAACAAGUUAUGUGAACAUAUAUUCUCCAUGAACAGCAGCUGGAUUAUGUGACAAUAUUAAAAGUUAAAUGAUGAUUUGGAUUCCCUA